AUGUAUCACCCGUAAGGUGCGGUUGCUCCGUGCCGUGCGCACUCACCCGGCGACUGCUCGCUACGGUUUGUUGGUC
rnacentral:sRNA from 1 species